GUCUGCUUAGCUCAGUGGGAGAGCGACGGUCUGAAGCGUAGAGUUCACAGAAUUCACCGGAUUACCGCAGGUCCUGUGUUCAAUCCACAGAGCGGACA